CGUCUGUGGAGUAGUUGGUAACGCCUUGGCUUAGUAAGUGCAAGUUCUAGGUUCAAGUCCUGGUCGGGAUGA